rnacentral:rRNA from 1 species
UGAUGCAGCGACGCCGCGUGAGGGAUGACGGCCUUCGGGUUGUAAACCUCUUUCACCAGGGACGAAGCGUGAGUGACGGUACCUGGAGAAGAAGCACCGGCCCACUACAUGCCACCAGCCGCGGUAAUACGUAGGGAGCGAGCGUUGUCCGGAAUUACUGGGCGUAAAGAGCUCGUAGGCGGUUUGUCGCGUCGUCUGUGAAAUUCUGCAACUCAGUUGCAGGCCUGCAGGCUAUACGGGCAGACUUGAGUACUACAGGGGAGACUGGAAUUCCUGGUGUAGCGGUGAAAUGCGCAGAUAUCAAGAGGAACACCGGUAGCGAAGGCGGGUCUCUGGGUAGUAACUGACGCUGAGGAGCGAAAGCGUGGGUAGCGAACAGGAUUAGAUACCCUGGUAGUCCACGCCGUAAACGGUGGGUACUAGGUGUGGGUUCCUUUUCACGGGAUCCGUGCCGUAGCUAACGCAUUAAGUACCCCGCCUGGGGAGUACGGCCGCAAGGCUAAA